CAGCACCUCAAGUGGGCAGGAUGAUUAUUGGGCCUAAAGCAUCCGUAGCCGGCGCUGUAAGUUUUCGGUUAAAUCUGUACGCUCAACGUACAGGCUGCCGGGAAUACUGCAGCGCUAGGGAGUGGGAGAGGUAGACGGUACUCGGUAGGAAGGGGUAAAAUCCUUUGAUCUAUUGAUGACCACCUGUGGCGAAGGCGGUCUACCAGAACACGUCCGACGGUGAGGGAUGAAAGCUGGGGGAGCAAACCGGAUUAGAUACCCGCGUAGUCC
rnacentral:rRNA from 1 species